GGGGUUGUGGCUCAGUGGUAGAGCACUUGCCUACCAUGUGCAAGGCCCUGAGUUUGAUCCUCAGCACCACA
rnacentral:tRNA from 1 species